GACAGAGGGUGCAAACGUUGUUCGGAAUUACUGGGCGUAAAGCGCGUGUAGGCUGCUUGGAAAGUCGGAUGUGAAAGCCCCGGGCUCAACCCGGGAAGUGCACUCGAAACUUCCGAGCUUGAGUUCUGGAGAGGAUAGCGGAAUUCUCGGUGUAGAGGUGAAAUUCGUAGAUAUCGAGAGGAACACCGGUGGCGAAGGCGGGUCUCUGGGCAGUAACUGACGCUGAGGAGCGAAAGCGUGGGGAGCGAACAGG
rnacentral:rRNA from 1 species